CCUCCCCCUCCCCGAGCCCGAGCUGGCCCAGCGGAGAAGGAGGGCGGAGAAGCUGGAACCCGAACGCGGAGCUGCAGGCGGCAGGUGCGGGAACGGGAGAAGCUAUGGCCUCGCCCAGGACGGCUGCUCAGAGCGACACGAGCAACCGCCAGGAGCUCCGCACGCAGCUGGAAGAACUCAGUAACGUACUCCGCUGUGGGAGACAUGGAGGUAAUAAAAGUCUGAUGUAGAAGUACUCGCAGAGAACCAUGCUCCUUGGUCAAUCUCAGAUUAUUAUUAUCAGACCUACCCUAAUGACGUUAGUCUUCCAAAUAAAGUGAGUGACUGAACUGUCAAAUCAGCAAGAUCAGGAUAUUGAAAGUCCUGCUUUGAAUUCUAACGACCAGUUAUAAGUAGAAAAUGACACUCACCCUGGUACUGAUAGGACAGCAAAUGUUAAGUGUAGACAAGAGGGUCAUCUGCCUCCAAUUCACAGGAGCCAGCAUCUGCAUUAGCAGCACAAGAUACGUCCUUAGAAGGUUCGUCAUUAGCUGGAAGUUUGAGAGCUGCAGCGGAAGCGGCUUUGUCACAGACUGGAUUUAGUGAUGAUGAAAAUACUGGACUGUAUUUUGACCACAGCACUGGUUUCUAUUAAGAUUCUGAGAAUCAAAUAUAUUAUGAUUUAAUUUAUUACCACUGUGAUGUGGAAAGUUGUCGCUAUCGAUUUCAUUCUCGAGUAGAUUUGCAACCUUAUCAGACUUAUAGCACGAAACAAAAACGAAAAAUUGAGAAAAGAAAGGAUUCUUCUACAAAAAAACGAUGAGGAAAAGGAUUUGAAUUCAGAGGAUCAAGAAGCCUUCAGUGUUGAACAUACAAGCUGCAACGGGAAAGACAAUUUCACAAAUGUGAAAAAAAAAAAGCCAAAAUAGGCAUUCAUCACAAAAAUAAUCCCCAAAAUUCACUGUUCCAUUUAGUGGAAAUCCUAUGGAAUCUCCUUUUAAUGAAAACAUCUCAAUUCAUCUUUAAGGAUGAGAAAAUCACAGAGACUGAUAGUGAACCAGAAGAAGGUGAAAUUACAGACUCUCAGACCGAGGGUAGUUAUGAUGAAGGCAUUACCAGUAAAGGCAAUGCAACUGCAAAAGAUACUGAGGAGGAAGAUGAGGAAAAAGUGUGGCCUCAUAUAUGAGAGUGAUUGUCAUUAGAUCACCUGUGCUACAGACAGGAUCAUUCUUCAUCAUUACUGCUGCAAAACCUGCUACAAUUGGAAGAGAAAAUGAUAUGGAGCAUACUUUCCAAAUCCCUGAAGUUGGUGUAAGUUUCAUGCAGAAAUCUAUUUUGACCUUGACUUACAAAGUUAUGUCCUUUUGGAUCAGACAGUCAAAAUGGAACAAUUGUUAAUGUAAAAUGGAUUGUUCAGCUGAAAACUAAAUGUGAGCCUUAUGAACCUGAGCAUGGAGAUAAAGUGAAAGUUGGAGACACUGUGUUAUCUUAUUACAUUCACACUGGCAGUAAUAGCUGUGUUGGAUGUGAACCAGGGCAGGUUAGAGCUCACCUUUUCCUUGACAAGAAAGAUGAAUCAUUUGUUGGUCCAUCAUUAACUAAGAAGGAAACGAGUUGGAAAGAAGAAAAGGAUUUUAAAAAUAUACGAGUAAAAUAUGGUUUACAGAAUACAGACUACAAAGAUGAUAAGAUACUGGAGAAUCAAAAAUAUAAAGAUAGAGCUGGAAAACAUAGGGAGCAGAUUGGAAGUGAAGGAAAUUUCCAAAGAGAUGAUGCUCCUGCAUCUGUUCAUUCUGAAAUUACUGAUAGCAACAAAGGUCAGAAGAUGUUGAAAAAGAUGUGUUGAAAACAGGAGAAGGCCUGGGGAAGGAUGGUGGGAGAAUAAAAACUCCAGUACAGCUUCAGCCUUGGCAAACACAUGCAGGAUUGGAGACAGACAAACCAUCCUCAAUUAAAGAGACUCACCUUCUCCAAAACAAGAACAACAACAACUGGGACAAAGCUCAGGAGAGGUUUGCCGAAAACUUUCCAGAAACUAAACUUCCAAAAGAUGACCUAGGAACCAUUCCUUGGGUAAAAGGGACUGAGGAGUGA
rnacentral:lncRNA from 1 species